rnacentral:hammerhead_ribozyme from 1 species
ACCAAUUGCCGAGUCCCACAUAGGACGAAACUCGCGUCCUGGAU